UUCAGUGUGAGCUUAUCUGCAUCAACUUUUGCAGACAAGUUUACCCACAUGAAUUAAAUUCAAAAUAUGCAUAAACUAGCCUUGACAGGGUAAAAAGAAGAUAAAGGUAGUACCUUUAAGUGAAAAAAAUGGUUCAAAACCAGACAAGUCUUGAAGUGAAGAGAAGAAGAGAGAGAAAGGGGGCAUUAAAAUGCAAAAGUGACUGGCUUUUUCUUACACAUACAUAUACAUAAAUGGGUUCUGUGUUCUUGGUUCUAUUGCCCACUCACAUCUACUACUAUGGCCUUCAAAAAAAUAUACAGAGACACAAGCAUUGGGAAGGGAGAAAGCAGGAGAAUAAUAGUGUGGGGUUCUUUCUUUUUUCUGCAAUUUAUUGGAGGACAUGAAAAUAUUUUUAAUUGCG
rnacentral:misc_RNA from 1 species